GUUGAACGCUGGCGGCAUGCUUUACACAUGCAAGUCGAACGGUAACAGGCCGCGAGGUGCUGACGAGUGGCGAACGGGUGCGUAGUGCAUCGGAACGUGCCCAGUCGUGGUGGAUAACUACUCGAUAGAGUAGCUAAUACCGCAUACGAUCUAUGGAUGAAAGCGGGGGACCGCAAGGGCUCGCGCGAUUGGUGCAGCCGAUGUCAGAUUAGGUAGUUGGUGGGGUAAAGGCUCACCAAGCCAACGAUCUGUAGCUGGUCUGAGAGGACGACCAGCCACACUGGGACUGAGACACGGCCCAGACUCCUACGGGAGGCAGCAGUGGGGAAUUUUGGACAAUGGGCGCAAGCCUGAUCCAGCAAUGCCGCGUGCAGGAAGAAGGCCUUCGGGUUGUAAACUGCUUUUGUACGGAACGAAACGGCUCUGGUUAAUACCCGGGGCUAAUGACGGUACCGUAAGAAUAAGCACCGGCUAACUACGUG
rnacentral:rRNA from 1 species